AUUGAACGCUGGCGGUAUGCUUAACACAUGCAAGUCGAACGAUGAGAAAGAGCUUGCUCUUUCGAUUAGUGGCGGACGGGUGCGUAACGCGUAGGAAUCUACCUAUUAGUGGGGGACAACUUAGGGAAACUUAAGCUAAUACCGCAUACGCCCUACGGGGGAAAGAAGGGGAUCGCAAGACCUUUUGCUAAUAGAUGAGCCUGCGUAGGAUUAGCUAGUUGGUGGGGUAAAAGCUCACCAAGGCGACGAUCCUUAACUGGUUUGAGAGAAUGAUCAGUCACACUGGAACUGAGACACGGUCCAGACUCCUACGGGAGGCAGCAGUGGGGAAUAUUGGACAAUGGGCGAAAGCCUGAUCCAGCAAUACCGCGUGUGUGAAGAGGCCUUAGGGUUGUAAAGCACUUUCAAUUGGAAGGAAAACCUCGAAGCUAAUACCUUCGAGUUUGACAUUACCUUUAGAAGAAGCACCGGCUAACUCCGUGCCAGCCGCCGCGGUAA
rnacentral:rRNA from 1 species